rnacentral:tRNA from 1 species
GCGUCCGUUGGGCACGGAUGUGCCCGGCACUUGUGAGGUGCCGCAUUUCGCUCCUGUGCGGGUGCGGGGUGGGCGGU